rnacentral:rRNA from 1 species
GAUGAACGCUGGCGGCGUGCUUAACACAUGCAAGUCGAACGGUGAAGCCAAGCUUGCUUGGUGGAUCAGUGGCGAACGGGUGAGUAACACGUGAGCAACCUGCCCCGAACUCUGGGAUAAGCGCUGGAAACGGCGUCUAAUACUGGAUAUGAGCUGCGGAGGCAUCUUCGUGGUUGGAAAGAUUUUUCGGUUUGGGAUGGGCUCGCGGCCUAUCAGCUUGUUGGUGAGGUAAUGGCUCACCAAGGCGUCGACGGGUAGCCGGCCUGAGAGGGUGACCGGCCACACUGGGACUGAGACACGGCCCAGACUCCUACGGGAGGCAGCAGUGGGGAAUAUUGCACAAUGGGCGGAAGCCUGAUGCAGCAACGCCGCGUGAGGGAUGACGGCCUUCGGGUUGUAAACCUCUUUUAGCAGGGAAGAAGCGUAUGUGACGGUACCUGCAGAAAAAGCGCCGGCUAACUACGUGCCAGCAGCCGCCGUAAUAC